ensembl:lncRNA
AUCAGCAGCAGUCGUGUGAACAGAUGGAAAAACGGUCCACAGAGCGUCCGGAGGGAAUGUGACACGUCCCGCUGGAGUUUAUCAUCUGCUCAACCUCCAGUUAUCCAGACUGAACCACAGUCACUCCUCCAACUGCUGUUAUCACUAAACACACACACACAGUUCCUGCUGGAGUCCUUUCAUACACCCACACUAGACUAUACACACUACACACUACACACAACACGCUAGACACUACACACUGUACACUACACGCUAGACACUGAACACUAGACACUGCACACUGAACACUACACACUAGACACUGCACACUACACGCUAGACACUGCACACUAGACACUACACACUAGACACUGCACACUACACACUAGACACUACACACUACACACUAGACACUGCACACAGAACACUACACACUAGACACUGAACACUAGACAUAGUGCACUGAACACGACACACUAGACACUGAACACUAGACAUUAUGUACUGAACACUACCCACUAGACAUUACACACUGAACGCUACACACUAGACACUGCACACUGCACACUACACACUAGACACUGAACACGACACACUAGACACUGAACACUAGACAUUAUGCACUGAACACUACACACUAGACACUGAACACUACACACUAGACAUUAUGCACUGAAUACUACACACUAGACACUUAACACUACACACUAGACAUUAUACACUGAAUACUACACACUAGACACUGCAUACGAGACAUUGCACACUACACACUAGACACUGAACACUACCACCUAGACAUUAUGCACUGAAUACUACACACUAGACACUGCCCACUACACACUGCACACUACACACUAGACACUGCACACAGAACACUACACACUAGACACUGAACACUAGACACUGCACACUAGACACUAUAUACUGAACACUACACACUAGACAUUAUGCACUGAAUACUACACACUAGACAUUGCGCACUACACACUGUACACUGCAUAUUACACACUAGACACUGCACACUGAACACUACACACUAGACAACGCACACUGUACACUGCAUACUGCACACUAGACAAUGCAUACUAAUCACUGUGUACUACCUACUUUACACUGCAUACUACACACUGUAUACUGCAUAGUACAUAC